rnacentral:rRNA from 1 species
AUCUUUAUAAUUUUACUUUCAAAUCCACCUUCAAUUAAUUUUUCAUAAUAAUAUUCAUUUAAAUAAUUUUAUUGUAAUUCAUUUCUACUUAAACAUAAGCUACACCUUGAUCUGAAAUAAAUUUGUAUAAAAAUUUAAGAAAAUUAUUAAUUCUUUUAAAAUAUUCUGAUAACGACGGUAUAUAAACUGAAAACAAAUUUAAGUAAGGUCCAACGCGGAUUAUCAAUUAUAGAACAAAUUCCUCUGAACAGACUAAAAUACCGCCAAAUUUUUUAAGUUUCAAGAACAUAACUACUAC